AUUUCUUGAAAUCCCCAUCAAAACCGAUUUCAAGGAUGGAGAGAAGUCUUUCUUGUUCUUCUUGGCUCCAAUCUCCGAAUCCUUUUUUCAUCUCUGGGACGGAGUUCUUAACCUGUAUAAAAAACAUUCAAAGACUAUGUUUAGGCGUCACGUCUCCAGCUUUAGGGCAUUGUGUGGGAGAGGCCUGUGCUGCAUUCUACAAACAACACAUGUUUAAAGAUUAAUGAAUUUUUCAUUUCCUGAGCAUCAACACUUUUGGAUGUAGAAGCACGCUCCAAUCUCCCUGCCCUUUCUUCAUUGGAAGAGUGACUUUCUGCUGCAGUUCCUUGACUUCCUUCUUCACCAGAAAAUAGUUUCCUCCGUUUCACUCUGUUAUCUUUCCAUGAACUGUUUUCUGGAGUGUUACUCAUUUUUCACUCACUGAAUCUAAGGAACACAAAUUGAUCACAGUUAAUUAUGAAAAAUUGACACACAUCAGUAGAAUAAUAUUACGCCUGAAUGAGAAACUGAAGAAAAAUUUGAAGUCUUCAAUACUCGAGCAAAUGCCAACAGCCAACUGGUACUCGAGCGAAUUCAAGGUAUUUCAAGCUUUUUCUCAACCAAAGGAAGGUACGAGUACGAACUUCCGAGUUCCGAGUCAAUUCUGUCAUAAGCAGUCACGAAUUCACGAUACACAAUCUAAUAAUCAGGAUGCUACAGUCACGCAAUCACAACCUCUCGUGCUCUCGAGUUUCGAAUCCAGAAUCAGCUGGUAACGUGUACUGGAAUUUAUACUUGGCAAUUCCGUUUGAUCAUGUGGCCUGCCGUUAAAUUUCCCAAAAUGUCGUCUCUUGCUCUUGCUGUAUCUUGCACGUUUCGUCACUAGAUGAGAUGUUUCCACGCCAUUCGACCAAGCUGAACCGAUAGUGAACCAUUUAAAACGAGUGGCUUUGUUGCAGCGAGCUGAUGAAAGGGAGUUCAAGUCAAGUUGAGCUGCAGCUUCUGGAAGCAGUCUACAUCGCUGAUGUCAUCCUGAAGUGGAGAAGUGUUACCUGAAGUGUUAACUACAAAAAAUACAUCUUGAAAUGGGUAACUCUUUCGCGCCUGAUGACAUUAAGUCAUCAACUGUUGUAAACUGACGAGAGAAUGCUGCAAUUCAAGACUGAUGUAUUGUGUUGGCCAAAAAAAAUUGGCCGUUCCUUGGUGCUGAUUUUGACCGAGGUUGCAUCAUAUUUUGUUAAAUUAUUGUUAUCGUUACUAUUGCAGUUUACCGUUUAAAAGUUCAGAAGCAACAACACAAAAUGGGAUGUUGAUGUCAAACAAAUAAUAAACAUUGUUUUGGGGUUGGGAAAGUAAACUGGUGGAUGUUGGAGGGGGAUAUUUCAAGUUUGGAUAAAAAUUCAGUUAAUUUAUAACCCUACUAAUGUAUCCCUACCAAUUAAUCUCCAAACCCCAAAAAUAUAUACCUUCCAAUCCUUCAAACCCUGUAAAUAUACCCCUACCAACCCUUAAAUCUAUUCCCUUAACACUAUAAACCAAUGUUAAUCUUAACCAUGUAAUGUCUGUAAUUAAUUAAAAAAUACACUGGAUAAACCAA